rnacentral:lncRNA from 1 species
GAAGUUCCCAGGCAGGGGGAUCAAACCCGCACCACAGCAGUGCACAAGCCAUAGCAGUGAUAAUGCCAGAUCCUUAGCCCAAUGAGCUAUCAGGGAACUCCCAACCAAAGCUACUUUAGAUCAUUCUCAGGGUUGAGCAUCUUUCAAGGAGCUGCCUGAAGAUCUAAUGAAGUUAAUGACCUUAUGAGUCAUCCCAGAAAAGCUCAGGAAAUUACACACCCUCUCCAAACUAUGGUGCUCCCCCCAGCUGCUUGGCUGUUCACCAUUAAUAUCCAGGGCCUUGCCCAAGUUACUUGUGCACUCUGGGUGUCACCUCCCUGACCUGUAAAUUGUGUAUAUUGAUGAGCAUUAUGUAUGACUGCUUUGAAGAUAAAAUGUGAAAUGUAUGUAAGGACUUGACACGCCACCUGGAAUAUAAAAAGUACUUAAGUAUAGCAAAUACUGUUAACUAAUCAUUGUAAUUGUUAAUAUUUUGAUGUCCAUAAUGUCUGAUCCAUGGAAAAAUCUCCAUUUCCAGCAAAGAGUCAACACUGCUGUGGUGACAUUUUUCCUCUAUAGAGAAGAUAAAGCCAGACAACUUGGCAUGCGGCAUGUGUUCUAAAAUUGUAUAAGCUACCAAAGGCAAUGGAAAAGCAGAUGAGAGCAUUUUAAAAAUUAAAAUGCCUUUUGAUUGCUCUGCGUUAUGUCCUGUGUUGCAGAGAGGCACUGUCAAAAUCAGUAGCUUUAUGAAUGAUGGAUUUUGUACAGCAUAAAAAGGCAUGGCAAAGUAUAUUUCAAAUUUUGUUUUGAAAGCACUGAUUCCCAUACAUCUUUGAAAUUAAAUUUCCCUCAUGGUUCACCUUUAAACCUGUUACCCUGCUCUAAGAGAAAAAUAAGAAAAGGAAAAUCCGCCUUCACAAAACCAUUCAAAGGUAAACUGCCGAUAAACAUUAGAAAUCACAUAAAUGAAUUAUUUUAUGAGUCUGAUUUUUCUCUACUGAAUAUUCUCCUCCUUUUUGUCAUUAUUCCAAGUACCUGAGUGUCACUUGUAUUUAUUUUUUCCUUAUGCUUCCAUAAAUACAAUGAAAAGGCUAGUAUUUCUAACACAGUGCUUUGCUUCUGUUUAUCUGAUAAUGCAAUAACCAAGAUUUCAUUAUAGUAUAAAAAAUGUUAGUGAAAUGAAUGAACGGAAUGUCUGGUCUAAUUCUCUGCUUUCGUUUUUAUUAAUAUUACAUUUCCUAUAGGUUUUCUCGUCUUUGUGACCACUGCACUUGAGAAAUAUUGAGCAAUUCUUACUCAGAUUUUCUUAACUAUGUACCUUGCCUGCAAGCUGAAGAUACCAUUGAGUUUUUCUAUUGUAGGUUUGUGAAUUAUGUAUAAAAAGGGCAUUACAUUUUAGUAAACUUUGGCAUGGAUCCACUCAUGGGGAAUAAGAUUAAGGUGAAGUAGGAUGUUUUUUCACAGGGUCAAUUAUUGCAUUCUUACCGUCACAGUAGAAAUCUUUUUUUUUCUCCAAAGUAUUACUAACCAGUUAUAGGAAACUGAUCCAGCAACUUGCCAUUCACAUUAAAAUAUGUGACUUUAUUUAUUAUUCUGUGUGGUGCAUAGUAUGAAAAAUGUGGGCUAUGAACUAAUCAUGGUGCUUAUUUGGGGUAUAUCAAUGAUAAUACUCAACAUGACGAUGAUGACAUGACUCUAGAGAAUGUCUGGUUGUUACCAUUCUGUCUUCAAAAGUUGAGGCAACUUUUUUUGUGUGUUUAAUUAACAACAUACAUUUGACUUAUUCCUUUCUUGAUUCCAAAAACUUAUACAGAGCACCACAUCUACUCUAGACACCCAGAAUUCCUUACGGAGUUUUCCAUGACAGUGGGUAUGUAAAAUAAAGUCCUGGAAGAGACGAGAAAUGUUUGACAUGAACUCUUGGCAAGAGGAGCAUCUACUAAAAUAAAACGGGUGUGGCUCAUGCAAGGAAGAGUUAGAGCAACUAAGCAGCAAAAAGGCCAUUUUCUACAAUGAGCAUGGGUAGGUACAAUGAGCAUUUUCUACAAUGAGCAUGAGUCCUUUGAUUACUCACUGUCUCAAUUCAAAAUGCUGGACUCUGCUGGUGACAUUAACUUGUAGACCCAACACUGGCCCUUAGCUCAGAAAAAAGUAAUAAUAAUAAUUUGGCAACUUCCAAGUGCUGACAUCAGCAGCUCUCUUCUGGUCCUUCCCAGCUAAGUAAGAAAAUGUGAUCUAGUCCUUUUUUACCUUCAGACAUCUCAAGUCAGCUCCCUACAUAACAGCUAAUCUGGAUUCCUGCCAUCCUUGCUGUUUGACUGAGCCCAGGGGGUUCUGUAAGGAGUACCAUGAGACAGUUCUCAUCACAUCCAAUAACAUUCCCAGUACACAUAUUUUGUAGCUUGAUAUACAGGCCUGGCAGAGAUAUAAAGAAACACUUGAAGAUAGAAUAAAAAGGAAAACAGAAACCCUAACUCAUUCAUUCAAUCACUGAAUAAAUACUGUUUUAAGGCAUUAAUUUUAAUAUUUUGGAUAAGGUGUUGCAGGGGUUAGUGAUAGAAGAGAAAUCACAUAAUAUAUGUUUUCAAGAAACUUCUAAUCCAAGAAAUAAUCUAACAUACAAGUUUAAGAAAACAUGGCACUCCUGCCCAUAUUCCCUUGGAUCCCUUCACCAGCUUUCUACACACCAGCUCCAAUGUGCUCUGACCCCCAACAUCAGCAUCUGUAGCUCCAUGUGGAAAGGCUCCUUUUGUCUAUACCAAUGGAAACUGCCAAGCACCAGAGAGAUUAUGCUGCCUUCCUAUCAUCAGCCCUUAGCCGACGAAUAAAGGGAUGAAGAUAAACACUACAGCCUCCUUGCCUCCUAAUUCGGACAACUCCAAAGUGUGCCUCAUCCUGUCUCAAGAGCUCUCCUGCAAGACUGAGUCAUGUUGCCCCACCUCUGGGGGAUUUUCCUGGAAAUCUCACCCUUGCUUUUCUUCCUUCCACGCCAUGUCUACUUGCCCACACUGCAACUGGUGUUUCUCCAGAAACACUUUCUAAUACACCACUUUCACGUGAAACCCAUUUCAGGAACAGCUUAUGAAGGCACAAAGCUAUCAAUAAGACCAUUUCUCCUAUUUCUAAGGGUGACUAAAAAUGAAUCAAAGAUGAAUGAGAUAGGUUUCCUAAGGGUUAAACAAAACGAUAGGACUUAUUGAACAAGUAGAGUAAAGGGAAACCAAGUUGUCAAACUCUCAAAAGCCCUUGAGUGUCAAGAAAAUGAGAUUUUAACUUUUUGAUAGAAAACAAGAAAUUAUUGGAAAGUUUAAGUAGAAGACACCAUGUCAGUUUUAGCUUGAAUAAUUCAGUAGAAAUAUCACUAAGUCUGAGAGCUUUUCUGUUCACUCUGGAUGUAAUAUAAGUGAGACCUCUUCAAAAUUAGCAGAGAUGCUGUGCUUUACACUCCUUUCUCUCCAAAUAUGGAUGCUCUGUGGCCAACCAUCCAGAAUUCUGUCUAACCUGAAAUGGAGGUGCACCCUGAAAGUUAGCACACCUCCCUGGUCUCUGUCAAAAGAUCCCCAGUUCUUAAAUGGAAUGCAACACUGUGCUAACAUUCACACUUCAAAGUCACACACAAGUUGGCAUUAGUCUGUAGAUUCCUUGUCUCCUCCUCCUUGGCAUCUCAUUAUCCAUUUGUACAGCUAUUCAACAAUCCAAGCUAUAUGCUCCAGUACAGGUUUCUAAAGAAUCUUUCAUCUUAGCCAAAAGACAAAAGUAAAAUAUUUCCAGGCAUUGCUGAGUAUAGUUUCAUAAUCACUGUGGCAUACUCUUUGUGGCAGUAUUUCCACCUUCAUCUAACAGUACCCACCAUUAUAAGAGCUUUUCAACAAAGAAUAUCUGCUAUUUAUUUCUUGGCUACAGUUGGAGUUCAUUGUGCUAGGCAUUGGAAUGUUGUUUCCUGAUCAUUUAAAAUGGUCCUCCUGUUUGAAGGACUUGACACUUAUACCAGCAAUUCUCACUCUGACUGCACAACAGAAUCAUGCAAGAGCUUAAAAAAAAAAAGUAUGUAUAUAUAUAUAGUGUGUGUGUGUGUGUGUGUGUGUGUGUGUGUGUGUGUGUGUGUGUAUUCCUAGUCUCAAUCCCAUCCCAUCACCUAGGUAAUGAUUUUUUUUUCAAGCUCUUCAGGUAGUUCUUGAUGUGACCAGUGUAGGGAACCAUCACUUUUAGACUAUUAGGUCUGAAUUUUAGAUACAUCAGUUUUAAUAUUAAAAUCAAGAGUUCUGAGUGACAGCUGGUCCAACAGUUAAACACAAUGAUACAUCUGUAUAAUUCCUGACAGUUUAUAAAUAAUUUUCACAAAUACAAUCCCUAUGAGACCAAAACUAUAUUUAUUUUAAUCAUUCUAAAGAAAAGGGAACAAACUCUAAGAAAAUUUUUAGGUGAUACACUCAAGGUCAUAUAAUAUGUAGUAGAACCAGAACACAAUUUUGAACUCUAGGCACAGAAUUCCAUCUACAAAGGAACAUGCCACUUGGUUUGAAGCAUUAAAACAUAAAAUCCAAGAGGGGAGGAAAGAGUAAAUAGGUGAAGCAUAGGAGAUUUCUGGAACAGUGAACUCUGUAUAAUACCAUACUGGUAGAUAUAUGUCAUUAUACUUUUGUCCAAAGCCAUAGAAUGAAUAACAGCAAGAGUGAACCUUAUUGUAAAGCAUGGCCUUUGGAUGAUUAUAGUGUAUCAAUGUAGGUUCAUCAAUUGUAACAAAUGUACCAUUGUGCUGGGAAAUGUUGAUAAUAGGAGAAACUAUGUAUAAAUAAGGCGGGUGGGGGGGUGGAAUAUGGUAAAUCUCUGCACCUUCCUCUCAAUUUUGCCAUGAACCUAAAACUGCUCUAAAACGUUGUCUAUUUUAAAAAUAUUAAUAAUAGUAACAUUAUUCAGAUCCCUUUGCUGAAUAGUAAAGCAAUUUGUGUACAUUAAUACUUAUUUUUUUGCUUGGCUGAAAUAUUUUAAUUGUGAGCUAAGGAGAAGGAAAUCAUCACUAUCAUAAGAUUUAAUUCCUUUCUACCAUCUUUCAGCAAAUUGGCAUGAACAUAUUGAGAAUUCUCCCAAGUCAGUUUGUGAAAAACUGCUUUGAAAGACUGGAAAAUGUGCUUUCCCUUGUAAACGUUCAUGGAGUACUUUCACUAUGGGAGAUACACUUGCAUUGUUUACGGCAAUCCAGGAGGAUUUAGCAGGAGAUGCAAGCACAUUUGGAAGUGCUUAGCUUUUCAGUCAAGGCCUAGAACUCUGAGGUAAAGAAUUUGUGUGUAGGAGUUGCCGUCGUGGUUCAGUGGUUAACGAAUCCGACUAGGAACCAUGAGGUUGCGGGUUUGAUCCCUGGCCUUGCUCAGUGGGUUAAGGAUCUGGUGUUGCUGUGAGCUGUGGGGUAGGUCACAGACACGGCUCAGAUCCCACGUUGCUGUGGCUGUGGUAUAGACCAGCAGCUGUAGUUCUGAUUCAAUCCCUAGCCUGGGAACCUUCAUAUGCUGUGGGUCUGGCCCUGGAAAAGGCAAAAAAAAAAAAAAAAAAAAAAAAAGCAUUUGUGUGUAGGCAACAACUUACUUCAGUUCUUAGCCAUCCUACACAGUGGGCUAGACUGAAUGAUCCCAAAGACAUGUUCAACCUUGCCUCCCCAUCUUCAAGGACACAGAUAUAGAGUGCUUGGCACAGAGUGGACACUCACUAGAUACUUGCCAAAAAAAGAAUAACCAAGAGAGUGUGUGUGUGUGUGUGUAAAUGAAAUGGGAAUACCUCUAGGAAAGAAAUUUCCAACAGUAUUUUCCAUUAGCAAUCUCACCAGGAAGCCUGGAUAUGAAGAAUAUUGUAAUGACAAGAAGUCCAUCUGCAAAUAAUGCUUGCUACUUUUUUCUCUGAAGAAUUUACUGCUCUCACAUCCUGUAUAAACCUAAUUUUCCUUGAUGCAGUGUUGAUAUAAAAAUCAUUUUUAUUCCUAUUAACAUCUGAUCACUUAUGUCAUCACAAUUAAGAUAAUACCACCUCUAAAAGGCAGAACACAGAUCACAAAGGAUUAGAAGACGUCUAUGCAACAGACGUCUACAAGUUAGACUAGAUGAUUUCAAGAAAAGUCUGUGGGGUAGGGAUUUUAAAUCAAAACAGCACAUAGCUACAUAUAUCUCUCCCUUAUUUGGCCUUAUGAUCUCACAAGCAGAGAAGUAAGAAAUGGGCUCAUUUUAAAGCGGUGAGGCAAAAGCAGCACCCUAGUUGGUUUAGCAGGAAGAAGGUAAUACCUUUAGCCUAUGAGGAAUUAAGUUAGCAAGGAAAACCAUUCAAUUUACCCUGUUUCACAGACUUUUCCAUCACAUCUAGGUUUGCAUACACUUAAAAUUGACAAGGUUAAAAGCCUAAUUCCAACUCAGCAUAACAUGUUGAUUUCUGCUCCAAGAGCAGCACAUUCAUAGGGCAAAAAAGACAGUGCUCUUCUAGUUAAGAAAAUAAGAUGCAUGUAAAACAUUCAAGUAAAAAUGUAAGCUUCCAAAAGGAUAGUUAUAAAAUCAGAGUGGGCAGAAUUCAAAGAAGAGAGAGAUUAGCAUGAGUCAGAGAGACUUGGUAAAGCUUUCAUGGAAGAAGAAUGGAGAGUGUUUAAAGAGGCUGAAGAGAAAAGAAAAAAACACUGGUUUAAAUAUAAGUUGAAUAAUAGAAACAAAAAUUUUAUAUAACAUUGUCCAUCUAGUCUUUUUAUUUAGAAACUUUUGUCAUCACUGAUAUGGCCUCUUCUCUACAACUAUCAGAAGUAUAAGGUAUAUAAUAAAAAUCAAGAAAAUGAAAAGUAAUACAAAAUAUGCAAUUUGCUGAAGAUAAAUAAUACAGUAUUUGGCAUAAGUAUAAGAAGAAAUACAUCACAUAAAGCGAAAAUUGGUAAAUCUCUACUUCUCAUGUUGCUUUUAUAUUAUUCUUUUUGAUGACUGCACAUCUACUUAUGAAAUGUUUGAAAGUUAUUACAUUUUAUUUCUGUAAAAAGACUUUUAAGCAAUUCGAAUUCUGUCUUUCUUAAACUAUCACAGACAACUGAAUUCUUUAUAUUAUUGAAUUGUUUCAUAUCAUAGAAGAUAACACACGUGAUAGUAUUUGCAUUCAAUUCAGAAAUGUAGCAAGCUAUCAGCAAAGAAGAAAAAAGUAUGUAUAUUGACAAGACUCCAAGUAUAUAAAAUUAUAAUCAAAACAUUCCACUUCAACAACAUCUAUUUGUCUCAAAAGCCUAAAAUGACCCUUCAGAAAAAUCAAAAGGUAUCUAUUCAAUUGAGAGUUAAGCUAUCUUCCAAUCAGCGUCUUAACACAGAUUUCUUCUUGGGUAAUAUUUAAUUCUUUCGCUCGAUAUUCCCUUUGCCACUCAAACUAAGUAAGGCAGUCCAGCUUCACUUGUUGAGAUUUAGCCACAGGCUUGCCUACAGUAGCAAACAUCUCCUCAAAUUGUGCUAAGUUGAAAAUAAUUCUUGAUGAAGAGUAUAGCUCUAACACUGUAUAAAUAUGGAAGCCACAUCAUGAUACAGAAGGAACUCAAAAUGGGACCUUAGACUUGAUCAACUCUGUUAGACUUGCACAGCAUGGCUGGGAUCAGGUUAUCUCUUAGGUUCCUUCCAAUAUGAAAAUUCUAUGCUGCUAUGAUAUAAACAAAUAUGUAAGCUUUGCCAUCAACUCAAGACUGGUUACCUUCUCCAGACAAUGGCAUUUGUGAUCAAGCACAUAUAUCAAUGCAAUAUGAUUAAACCGAGCCCCUUUCCCCUAUACAUCUGUCUAGUGCUAUCUAAGCCUAAACAGCCUGAAAGUUACUGCAUUUAUUCAGAAAACACACAUGUAUAUGUGAGCUACCUAGGAAUGGUUAAGGGGAGGCAUGUAGUAGAGAUUUGGUAGAGAUCAGCAGCCCAAGGGGAUUUCUGGCAGGAGAUGCAGAGAGCAGAGAGAACUAAUCUUACAAAAAUGGGGAUUCAAAAUCCAAAUUCUUACACCUAGACGAUGUUAGUAAAAACCAGGUAGAACCACCCCUCCCUCAUAACUCAUGCUACAGCCAGACAUUUAGUUUUUCAACAUGUCCUGCAUACCCGGUUCCUUCUGCCAGAAUCACUCUCCUCCAAACUCUUUAGCUAAUGCUACAUCUUCAAGACUUCAAGUAACUGUCAGUUUGUGCAAGAAGCUUUGUCCAAGACUCUAAGUCAAGUUUGGCUAUCCUACUGUUUUAUUCUAUCACUCUGUAACCCCCUCCUCAUUUUAGCAUUUAGUAUCCUAUAUUGAAACUACACAUUUAUUUAGGUCUAUUCCACAACAGAUAGUAACUAGAAAAAUAAAAUACCUAGUUGGCUAACAGUUUAGCUCAGGCAGGUAAGAUAUUAGUGUUACAUUAGAGGAGGAUUAAAAAUGAAAAAAAAAAAAAA